rnacentral:RNase_P_RNA from 1 species
GAAUGCGUGCGACCGGUCGCCGUCCGGAAGGGCGGAGGAAAGUCCGGACUCCGCAGGGUAGAGGAUCCGCCCGUCAAGGGCGGAGGGCACGGAGCAAACCCGUGCGACGGAAAGUGCCACAGAAAACAGACAGCCCGCAAGGGUGAUGGUGAAAAGGCGGGGUAAGAGCCCGCCGGCGCGGCUGAAACGACGCGCGCAGGCAAACCCUCCUCGGAGCAAGAUCAAAUAGGGGAUCGACGGGCGGCCCGUCCGGCGGCGCCUUCGCGAGAAGGGGCCUCAGAUCCCGGGUUGAUUGCGUUAGAUGAAUGACCGGAGUUCCCCGUCCGCGGGGAAUGAACAGAAUCUGGCUUAUUCGCCGCAUUCCUCU